rnacentral:rRNA from 1 species
AUUGAACGCUGGCGGCAGGCCUAACACAUGCAAGUCGAGCGAGCGGCGGACGGGUGAGUAAUGUCUGGGAAACUGCCUGAUGGAGGGGGAUAACUACUGGAAACGGUAGCUAAUACCGCAUCCCAUCAGAUGUGCCCAGAUGGGAUUAGCUGGUAGGUGGGGUAACGGCUCACCUAGGCGACGAUCCCUAGCUGGUCUGAGAGGAUGACCAGCCCCACUGGAACGUAGGCACGGUCCAAGCUCCUACGGUAGGCAGCAGUGGGGAAUAUUGCACAAUGGGCUCAAGCCUUGUGCAGCCAUGCCGGGUGGUUGAAUAAGGCCUUCGGGUUGUAAAGCACUUUCAGCGGGGAGGCGUUACCCGCAGAAGAAGCACCGGCUAACUCCGUGCCAGCAGCCGCGGUAAUUC